CAGAAUUUGACAACCAAAUGCACCAAACAGUUUCUUCAGACAAUGGCACUGAAUUCUUCUAUGAGGGCUGCUGUGGCCACACUCGUUCUGUUCUCCCUUGUUCUCGCUUUACCAUGUGAGGCAACAAGACCAACCCCAAAGCUUAUUGGGCGACCCCCGAUUUUUUGUCCUGCCUGUGUUUGCUGUGCACCAGCCCCUCCAGGCUCAUGUUGCCCCUGUCGCUGUCCUCCUGGAGUGGGAAGCCCUAUCGGCUACGCAGCUGAAGCUGAUAACACUUCGCCAUGACUUGAUGGCCACAAGUUUGUUUACUUUUCUACUUGUGUACGCGUCCAAAGUACCAAUGUACUAGCAUGAUAAACAUAUGCAAUUUCUAUUGGAUACCAUGUUGAAGUGAAAUACCUGAUUACGAAUAAGUCUCUUUAGACUCUCCCUCCCCCGUAAUUUGGGAUAGAAUAAACUAUACAAUUGUUAUCAUUUUUGAAUUAAAAAAAAAAAAAAGAAUUUGGGGGGUGGGGGAGGGAGUUUAAAAUCCCUGCUUUCACUGUUAUUUGCAUGUAUUUUUUUUUUAUUUUGUUUAUCAAUAUAUUGGGCUAAUAG